AUGGACACCACCACUCCCAAGUACUCGAAGGCUCGUUAUGAAGAAAUUGUUAAGGAGGUCUCUUCGUACCUGAAGAAGGUCGGCUACAACCCUGACAAGGUUCCCUUCGUCCCCAUCUCUGGGUUUGAGGGUGACAACAUGAUUGAGAGGUCCACCAACCUUGACUGGUACAAGGGCCCAACCCUGCUUGAGGCGCUUGACCAGAUCAACGAGCCCAAGAGGCCCUCAGAUAAGCCCCUCCGUCUUCCCCUCCAGGACGUUUACAAGAUUGGUGGCAUUGGAACUGUGCCUGUUGGCCGUGUUGAGACUGGUGUCAUCAAGCCUGGUAUGGUUGUCACCUUUGGUCCCACUGGUCUGACAACUGAGGUCAAGUCCGUUGAGAUGCACCACACAUCGUUCCCUCUUUUAUUCUUCUCAGGCAACGAGGGACAGGUGGAUGUCGUGCUGUCAUGUGGAAGGCAGCAUGUGCUAAUUCAUAUGUGGAGUUGGUGUUGA
rnacentral:rRNA from 1 species